CCCACCGCCACACACAGCGGCCCUGGCCUCUGUGCCCCUCCUAGGGAAAUGUGUGGACAGAGACGUUCGUCACGCAGUUAUUUGUAAGACGAACCUCAAUUUUCAACUGUUGGGGAACAGUCUGACCAUGGCCCAAAAUACGUCCCAGAAGACUACGGGUGUUAGGCCGGGUCACGGCCGGUAGAUGUAUCUGGAGCUGAAAGAAAGCUCUUGGGACCGGGGACCUCUUGAGCUGAAAAGGAGGCUCCCAGAGGUGAGGGCCUGGUGGCCAUAGACGUCACCGCGCGCCUCUGGGCUCCUCCCAAGGGCCGGGUCCCCAGGAGUCGAGAGCAAAGUAGAGAUGGGACCACGGAGGAGACACACGAGGCCCAAUCCAGACUGCAGUGCGGGUCACCAGGAAGCAAGUCACUGAGGUCUCAAAAGACCAGGAGGACCCCGCCAGGUGAAGAAGGCUCCCAGCUGACUGCAGCAAACAGGGUGAGGGCCGCUCUGGGAGGCAUGACGCUCCGGGAGAGAAAGCACGGACUUUGCAGGCUGAGUUGAGAUCCCAGCACCAUCACUUACGGUAGUAAGUGAUCCAGCUGAUCUGGAACAAGCUGUUAACCUCCCUGGGGCUUACUUUUCUCAUCUGUGAAAUGGGCAUUCGUGAUCCCCAUCUGAGCAUUAAGAGAGGCCGAGGACGAGAAGGUACAGUCCCUGCCUGCUCAUGACGAGCACUCGACAGGUAUUAGUUGCCAACACUUACUAUUGGCAGGGCUGGAGGGGAAGUGGGGCACUCUGUCUCCAAACCCGUGAUGCUCCCACCGAACCGCAUGAUGGGAGGGACAGAAAGAGUGGGAGGGCAGGAGGCACAGAAGCCCCAGGCGGCUUCCGGGAGAGUGCAGGGCAGGGGAGCGGUUGCCCCUGUGCAAGUUCUGUGAUCAAACUUGAGGAUGAUCUUGCGACCUCUCUUGGCCAAAUCUGCCAACCGGAACCCUGAAGCUGUGAAGUGCCUGGCUGGAGGGAGUCCCCCUGUGUGCCCUUCGCCCCGUGUGACAGGAGGAGCACUGGCCUGGGGUUCAGGCCCCUGGAUUCACAUCCUGAUCCCACCGUAUGUUACGAGUCCUCAGGCAAGUACCUUGGAGCUUGAUCAGACCUCACGCCCGGUGCAAAUUAGGAUCCCCUGGAGACCUAUCAAAACCGAACAAACCAAAGGAGGCCCAGGCCCCCAGAGAACCUCGUUUCAUUGAUGAGGCUGGGGCACAGGGAUCACCUUUUCUCAAACUUGGCUCUAGCUCGGAGUCACCUGGGGCAUUUUAAAGACCACUGAUACCCGGGUCCCACCCCAGCGAUUCUGGCAUAGUUGCUACGGCGGGAAGCGUGGACAGUGGCGUUUUCAAAGCCGCGCAGGUGAUCCUAAUACGCAGCAAGAACACAUCUCACCCGGAGGCGUCUCCACAGCAGGCUUGCAUUGCACUGGCUAAUUGCCGGGCUUUGUCAGACUUCCGUUCCUGCUCAGAAAGGGACACCUCAAGAGAGAGCCCAGAGGGCCCAGAGGCCAGCAAUGCCCAGCGCAGCUUGCGAAGCUGAGGCCCGGGUUGGGCAGGCGGGCUGGCUGCAGGGAUUCCUGCUGGGUGCCUGUGCCCUCCCCGCUCCUGGCGAGGACAGUCGUCCCCCUGGAGGCUCCUCGGUCCCUCCUAGAAACGUUCCCCGGCAUCCAGAAUCCUGAGAGCGCCCGAGAUGGGAAGAGCCUGCCGUCUGCUCCGGGAGGCCUCUGUGAAGGCUGAGAACAACUUAACAGCACUCGAGAGAAUCCAUUUAAAGGGGGAAGAAGAAAGCAAAUGUGGACACUGGAGCUCUUCAGUGUGAACAUGGAUCUCAAGCUGUUGGAACAUGAACAGUACAGGUUCAUUUAUUCAAUCCCAAAUACUAGUUCAGUGUCAGAGUGUCUGCAUGUUGAUGGCACUCUUCUCCAAAGAACCGACUCACAUGGGUUUAUAUGAAUGGAAGUGUUAAAAAAAAAUCAACUGAGGGUGCCUGGGUGGCUCAGUGGGUGAAGCGUCCGACUUUGGUGCAGGUCAUGAUCU